GCGGGUAUAGCUCAAGUGGUAGAGUGUAUGCUUAGCAUGCACAAGGUCCUGGGUUCAAGUCCCAGUACCUCCA
rnacentral:tRNA from 1 species